rnacentral:lncRNA from 12 species
CUGGCAUAGACAUUAUAUGUGAAUAUCAGGUGGUAUAAAUUGGAAAUGAGAUAGUGUCAUUGGACAGGAUGAAAAAGGGCUUGAUGCUGCACGGUGCAGGUAGAGACUCUUGCUACUUUAACAUCACUGAUGUAAUUUUCAAGAUCCACCUACUGCGGGCUUCUGAGAGUGUCGACAGUCCAUCUCUAUGCAAAGAAGAACUAUUUGGUUUGUUGGGUUUUCAGGGUUUUUCCAAAGCUGCUUCUCCCCAUAUGUUCCUUCUUCAGUUGUUUCUCCCCACAUGCUGGACCUUGAGAGAGGAAUGUACCUUCAGAAGUAACCAGCACCCUUCAAAUUCUUAUCUAAAGGAAUCCCACAGGAAACCUUGGAGCUCUUAAAAAAAAAAUUGGACUGUCUGUUAUUUAUCAGGUUUACAAGGACACUAGUCUUUGGCUAUCAAGCCCUCCUGAAGCCACCAACUGUUCUCUUCCCUUUUCCUUACUUUUAACUGUAGAGGUAACCAUUGACUUAAGUUUGCUUUGUGCCAUCUAUCUGUAAUAAAAAGGUUAACUAUAAAU